AUUAAAUGUGAACUUUUAAGUCUUCAGAUAAUAAAGUGUUUUGUUCUUCGGUUAUGUGCAUUGAUUAAGGAAGCUGGUAGAUGUGUGUACCAACUAAACAGUCAUAACUCAUGGAAAAAUUUGAGAUAUAAGAUAUUGACUAAUAUCACUCUGUUGUGCACACCAUAACAUGUAAAAUAUAAUAUCUGACAAUACAAGUAGACGAUUUACGGAAACAUAGUUCCUUGCGC
rnacentral:lncRNA from 1 species